AACCGGCGAUGUCCGAAUGGGGAAACCCAGUGCAAUUCGUUGCACUAUCGUUAACUGAAUACAUAGGUUAACGAGGCGAACCGGGGGAACUGAAACAUCUAAGUACCCCGAGGAAAAGAAAUCAACCGAGAUUCCCCCAGUAGCGGCGAGCGAACGGGGAGCAGCCCAGAGUCUGAAUCAGCUUGUGUGUUAGUGGAACGGUCUGGAAAGUCCGACGGUACAGGGUGAUAGUCCCGUACACCAAAAUGCACAGGUUGUGAACUCGAAGAGUAGGGCGGGACACGUGGUAUCCUGUCUGAAUAUGGGGGGACCAUCCUCCAAGGCUAAAUACUCCUGACUGACCGAUAGUGAACCAGUACCGUGAGGGAAAGGCGAAAAGAACCCCGGCGAGGGGAGUGAAAAAGAACCUGAAACCGUGUACGUACAAGCAGUGGGAGCACCUUCGGGUGUGACUGCGUACCUUUUGUAUAAUGGGUCAGCGACUUAUAUUCUGUAGCAAGGUUAACCGUAUAGGGGAGCCGCAGGGAAACCGAGUCUUAACUGGGCGUUAAGUUGCAGGGUAUAGACCCGAAACCCGGUGAUCUAGCCAUGGGCAGGUUGAAGGUUGGGUAACACUAACUGGAGGACCGAACCGACUAAUGUUGAAAAAUUAGCGGAUGACUUGUGGCUGGGGGUGAAAGGCCAAUCAAACCGGGAGAUAGCUGGUUCUCCCCGAAAGCU
rnacentral:rRNA from 1 species